UACAGAGGUCCCGAGCGUUGUCCGGAUUUACUGGGCGUAAAGCGCGCGCAGGCGGUUCGUUAAGUCCGGUGUGAAAGCUCCCGGCUCAACUGGGAGAGGUCAUUGGAUACUGGCGGACUUGAGGGAUGCAGAGGAAGGUGGAAUUCCCGGUGUAGUGGUGAAAUGCGUAGAGAUCGGGAGGAACACCAGUGGCGAAGGCGGCCUUCUGGGCAUUUCCUGACGCUGAGGCGCGAAAGCGUGGGGAGCGAACCGG
rnacentral:rRNA from 1 species